rnacentral:rRNA from 1 species
GAUGAACGCUAGCGGCAGGCUUAAUACAUGCAAGUCGAGGGGCGGCAGGUCUGUAGCAAUACAGAUGCUGGCGACCGGCAAACGGGUGCGGAACACGUACAGAACCUUCCUUCGAGUGGGAGAUAGCCCAGGGAAACUUGGAGUAAUACCCCAUAGGAUAGUAGAGUGGCAUCACUUAGCUAUUAAAGAUUCAUCGCUCGAAGAUGGCUGUGCGGCUGAUUAGGUAGUUGGCGGGGUAACGGCCCACCAAGCCUUCGAUCAGUAACUGGUGUGAGAGCACGACCAGUCACACGGGCACUGAGACACGGGCCCGACUCCUACGGGAGGCAGCAGUAAGGAAUAUUGGGCAAUGGAGGCAACUCUGACCCAGCCAUGCCGCGUGGAGGAUGAAGGUCCUCUGGAUUGUAAACUUCUUUUAUUUGGGAAGAAAUGCCGACUUUCUAGUUGGUUUGACGGUACCAGAUGAAUAAGCACCGGCUAACUCCGUGCCAGCCGCCGCCGUAAUAC